rnacentral:rRNA from 2 species
UGCCCCAGUAACGGCGAGUGAAGCGGCAACAGCUCAAAUUUGAAAUCUGGCCCCUAGGGUCCGAGUUGUAAUUUGCAGAGGAUGCUUUUGACAAGGUGCCUUCCGAGUUCCCUGGAACGGGACGCCAUAGAGGGUGAGAGCCCCGUCUGGCGGAUACCGCGUCUCUGUAAAGCUCCUUCGACGAGUCGAGUAGUUUGGGAAUGCUGCUCAAAAUGGGAGGUAUAUGUCUUCUAAAGCUAAAUAUUGGCCAGAGACCGAUAGCGCACAAGUAGAGUGAUCGAAAGAUGAAAAGCACUUUGAAAAGAGGGUUAAAAAGUACGUGAAAUUGUUGAAAGGGAAGCGCCUAUGACCAGACUUGGGCCCGGUGAAUCAUCCAGCGUUCUCGCUGGUGCACUUUGCCGGGCACAGGCCAGCAUCAGUUUGGCUUGGGGGAAAAAGGCUUUGGGAACGUAGCUCCUCGGAGUGUUAUAGACCAUUGCAUAAUACCCUGGGCCGGACUGAGGUUCGCGCAUCUGCAAGGAUGCUGGCGUAAUGGUCAUCAGCGACCCGUCUUGAAACACGGACCAAGGAGUCGUCUUCGUAUGCGAGUGUUCGGGUGUAAAACCCCUACGCGUAAUGAAAGUGAACGCAGGUGAGAGCUUCGGCGCAUCAUCGACCGAUCCUGAUGUUCUCGGAUGGAUUUGAGUAAGAGCAUACGGGGCCGGACCCGAAAGAAGGUGAACUAUGCCUGUAUAGGGUGAAGCCAGAGGAAACUCUGGUGGAGGCUCGCAGCGGUUCUGACGUGCGAAUCGAUCGUCAAAUAUGGGCAUGGGGGCGAAAGACUAAU